rfam:Triticum urartu cultivar G1812 contig616836, whole genome shotgun sequence.
AGUCCUGUAGCUCAGCUGGUUAGAGCGCUGGUCCGAUGUACCAGAAGUCACGGGUUCAAUCCCCGUCGGGACUA